rnacentral:rRNA from 1 species
GUGCCAGCAGCGGCGGUCAUACGUAGGGUGCAAGCAUUAUCCGGAGUGACUGGGCGUAAAGAGUUGCGUAGGUGGUUUGUUAAGCGAGUAGUGAAAUCAGGCGGCUCAACCGUUCUGGCUAUUACUCGAACUGGCAAACUCGAGAGUGGUAGAGGUAACUGGAAUUUCUUGUGUAGGAGUGAAAUCCGUAGAUAUAAGAAGGAACACCAAUGGCGUAGGCAGGUUACUGGACCAUUCUGACACUAAGGCACGAAAGCGUAGGGAGCGAACGGGAUAGACUACCCGGUAGUCCACGCGU